rnacentral:tRNA from 1 species
GGGCCCUUAGCUCAAUCGGCAGAGCAGGGGACUCAUAAUCCCUUGGUUACAGGUUCGAGUCCUGUAGGGCCCA